GCCCCUGCUGAUGCUUCCGCCGCUCCAGCUGCAGAAGAAGGUGCUCCAGCUGCCGACUCCGAAGCACCUGCUGAUGCUGAAGCUGCUGAAGCGCCGGCACCAGAAGAGCCUAAAGCUCCCACACCUCCACCACCUCCACCCCAAG